CGGGGUGUGGCUCAGUUGGUAGAGCGCUGCGUUCGGGACGCAGAGACCGCCGGUUCGAGCCCGGCCACCCCGACCA
rnacentral:tRNA from 4 species